rnacentral:rRNA from 1 species
GACGAACGCUGGCGGCGUGCUUAACACAUGCAAGUCGAACGGUGAAGCGCCUUCCUUUUUGGUGGGUGUGGAUGAGUGGCGAACGGGUGAGUAACACGUGAGUAACCUGCCCCCUUCUUCUGGAUAACCGCAUGAAAGUGUGGCUAAUACGGGAUAUUCUGGGUCUGUCGCAUGAUGGGUCUGGGAAAGAUAUUGUUUCGGUGGGGGAUGGGCUCGCGGCCUAUCAGCUUGUUGGUGGGGUGAUGGCCUACCAAGGCGGUGACGGGUAGCCGGCCUGAGAGGGUGGACGGUCACACUGGGACUGAGACACGCCCCAGACUCCUACGGGAGGCAGCAGUGGGGAAUAUUGCACAAUGGGCGCAAGCCUGAUGCAGCGACGCCGCGUGAGGGAUGGAGGCCUUCGGGUUGUGAACCUCUUUCGCCAGUGAAGCAGGCCUGCCUCGUUUGUGGGUGGGUUGACGGUAGCUGGAUAAGAAGCGCCGGCUAACUACGUG